GUGGGGAAUAUUGGACAAUGGGCGAAAGCCUGAUCCAGCCAUGCCGCGUGUGUGAAGAAGGUCUUCGGAUUGUAAAGCACUUUAAGUUGGGAGGAAGGGUUGUACGUUAAUACCGUGCAAUUUUGACGUUACCGACAGAAUAAGCACCGGCUAACUUCGUGCCAGCAGCCGCGGUAAUACGAAGGGUGCAAGCGUUAAUCGGAAUUACUGGGCGUAAAGCGCGCGUAGGUGGUUCAGCAAGUUGGAGGUGAAAUCCCCGGGCUCAACCUGGGAACUGCCUCCAAAACUACUGAGCUAGAGUACGGUAGAGGGUAGUGGAAUUUCCUGUGUAGCGGUGAAAUGCGUAGAUAUAGGAAGGAACACCAGUGGCGAAGGCGACUACCUGGACUGAUACUGACACUGAGGUGCGAAAGCGUGGGGAGCAAACAGGAUUAGAAACCCGGGUAGUCC
rnacentral:rRNA from 1 species